rnacentral:rRNA from 1 species
UACAGAGGGGGCAAGCGUUGUUCGGAAUUACUGGGCGUAAAGGGCGCGUAGGCGGCCCUCUAAGUCAGACGUGAAAUCCCUCGGCUCAACCGGGGAACUGCGUCUGAGACUGGAAGGCUUGAAUUCGGGAGAGGGAUGUGGAAUUCCAGGUGUAGCGGUGAAAUGCGUAGAUAUCUGGAGGAACACCGGUGGCGAAGGCGGCAUCCUGGACCGAGAUUGACGCUGAUGCGCGAAAGCCAGGGAGCAAACGGG